rnacentral:rRNA from 1 species
AGUGAACGCUGGCGGCGGGCCUAAUACAUGCAAGUCGAACGGCAGCACAGUGGAGCUUGCUCCAUGGGUGGCGAGUGGCGGACGGGUGAGGAAUACAUGGGAAUCUGCCCAGUCGUGGGGGAUAACGUAUGGAAACGUACGCUAAUACCGCAUGCGCCCUUCGGGGGAAAGUCGGGGACCGCAAGGCCUGACGCGAUUGGAUGAGCCCAUGUUCUAUUAGCUAGUUGGCGGGUAACGCCCACCAAGGCGACGAUCGAUAGCUGGUCUGAGAGGAUGAUCAGCCACACUGGAACUGAGACACGGUCCAGACUCCUACGGGAGCAGCAGUA